rnacentral:rRNA from 1 species
GCUGGCGGCAGGCCUAACACAUGCAAGUCGAGCGCGCCUUCGGGUGAGCGGCGGACGGGUUAGUAACGCGUGGGAACGUACCCUUCUCUACGGAAUAGCCUUUGGAAACGAAGAGUAAUACCGUAUACGCCCUUUGGGGGAAAGAUUUAUCGGAGAAGGAUCGGCCCGCGUUAGAUUAGAUAGUUGGUGGGGUAACGGCCUACCAAGUCUACGAUCUAUAGCUGGUUUUAGAGGAUGAUCAGCAACACUGGGACUGAGACACGGCCCAGACUCCUACGGGAGGCAGCAGUGGGGAAUCUUAGACAAUGGGCGCAAGCCUGAUCUAGCCAUGCCGCGUGAGUGAUGAAGGCCUUAGGGUCGUAAAGCUCUUUCGCCUGUGAUGAUAAUGACAGUAGCAGGUAAAGAAACCCCGGCUAACUCCGUGCCAGCAGCCGCGGUAAUACGGAGGGGGUUAGCGUUGUUCGGAAUUACUGGGCGUAAAGCGCACGUAGGCGGAUUGGAAAGUUGGG